GGCGUUGUGGCGGAGUGGUUAACGCGACAGACUUGAAUUCAUUUGAUAUCUGUUUCCUUCGGGAGCGUAGGUUCGAACCCUGCCAACGUCG